UUUGAGUUUUAAUACAAAAAAAGAGAUUGAAUUGAAACUAGUGCAAUUGUCAAACUUCAUUCAAAUUGGCGCUCGUAAAAUUGGCUUCUUUAUUUGACCAGCAUUUGGCUUUGGCCGUUGAGCAUCGCAUAUGGUCGGUUAAGCAAAACAUUUUUGCAAUCGAAUGGAGCGCAGCUGAAUCAAGUUUUCAAUUCAAAUAUGCAGUUGAAUGACCACAAGGCCAAAAGCGAGAGGCUGCCACGAAACCAGAAGAAUGCUGAAAAGCCCAAUUGCAAAAUGUUGAAUCAUUGAAAUUUAAAACCAAAGUUCUAAAACACACAAAGGCCAGCAAAUCAGAGAAAAGCAUAAAAGUGUAAAGCAAAGUGCAAAGGAAAUGAAAUUGUAAACAAGAAAAGUACGCAAAAAACAACAGCAAAAAAAAUACAUAUAUAUAUAUACAUAUAUAUAUAUAUAUAUUAAAC